UAUGAGGGAAAAUAAGGAACUGCAGAAGAAAAUGAAAGACAAUCCAGAAAGUGAGAUCAUUUUACUUUAACAACAUUUUAAUUGUUUUCAUUCAAAAAAGAAAAGUGAUUUAUUUAAUCUUAAGUUUGACUGUAGAAGUUCUAGUUCUUUUGUUAUUUUUUUGCCAGGAGAUGUAGACAGAGAUGAGGAAAUUAACUACAAGGUACUAAAGGAGAAAUAUGAGAAGUACCAGAAAGCCAUCAGAAGAGCGAAGACUGUAAGUAUCGUACAUAACAGUAAGAAAUCAGAACAACCUCUUUAAGUGAGAUUUUAAAUACAUUAAAAGUUAAUUUUGAUUGUACUUCAUCAAUUUCUUUUUAUAGGAGGUCUCAAAAGAAAUUGAGAAACAGAAAGAACUGGCAAGGGCUUGGGAGCAGGCAAUUGAUGAUGUCUGCUCCCAUCUCAUAUCCCUACCUGUCCAAGAAAGACCAAGGCGGCAAGAUUUGUCCUUCCGUUUCUUGGAGAGAAAUAGACGUGUUUCAAUUGAUGACUCACUACUUUGUUCUAAAAUAUUUGUUUAACAUUUUCAGUCUCUGCCAGAAAAGAGUCCAAAGAGACACCUGAUUGUAUACAAAAGUGGAUUCAAAGACACCUGUACUCCUUUUUGGGACUCCCUCUGCUUAUGGUUUAAUACAACCAGGGACAACCAGGACCAGCUGGAUUGCUGUGACUAAGAGACGCAGUCAUGUGGCAUAGAUUUUGCACCUCUUCAUUUAACAACAGUGGCAAUUUGUCCACAUUUCAUACCAUUGGAAAUUGUAACAUGAUGACUACCUUUAUGAUGAAAAUUCUUUUUCACCACCAAUUAUUCUCCUGAAGAAAUUGCUUUUGACAUCCCCUUCUUGUCUGGAAAACAAAGUGAGGAAAAGCCUUCCAGCAAUUUGAAUGUGAUGCAGGUGAUUGUGCCCUGUAAGUUUCUGUCCUGAGUACUUGGGAUGUUAACAAAGAAGAACCCAAGAACACCCAGGUGGAAGACAUCAAGCAUUCUUUGGACAAUAUCCAUUCCAGCCAAGUUAAUCUUUUCCAUCUGGCCAAAUGUCCAACCUCUUCUUCACUAAAGGAGCCAGACGAACAAUGUCUCUUUCAUAAAAAUUUGGUGAGACAUAAUUAAAAGACAUGCAUUCCAGCUCAGUCAUUGCUUGGGCUACAGGAACCUUGCUAGGUUUUGGAGUUCUUGGACAUUUGGUGGAAAAUAUUCAGGACUCAUGGCUUCUGGCUGAGGAACCAAGGCCAGUAACAAAAGUAACUCAAAUUGUAAAGGCAGGGGGAGUUGGCAGCAGAUGAAGUCAGCACAGAAUGUUGUUCGC